rnacentral:rRNA from 1 species
GAUGAACGCUGGCGGCGUGCCUAAUACAUGCAAGUCGAGCGAACGGACGAGAAGCUUGCUUCUCUGAUGUUAUCGGCGGACGGGUGAGUAACACGUGGAUAACCUACCUAUAAGACUGGGAUAACUUCGGGAAACCGGAGCUAAUACCGGAUAAUAUUUUGAACCGCAUGGUUCAAAAGUGAAAGACGGUCUUGCUGUCACUUAUAGAUGGAUCCGCGCUGCAUUAGCUAGUUGGUAAGGUAACGGCUUACCAAGGCAACGAUGCAUAGCCGACCUGAGAGGGGUAAUCGGCACAACUGAAACGGAGAACGGGCCCGAACCCCAACGGAGGGCAGCAGAGGGAAAUCUUCCGCAUUGGGCGAAGGCCUAACGGGGCAACGCCGCGGAGGUAAUGAAGUUCUUCGAAUCGUAAAACUCUGUUAUAGGGAAAAAACAUAUGUGUAGGUAACGGUGCAAAUCUGAACGGAACCAAACCGAAAGGCCACGCCAACCUACGU